rnacentral:rRNA from 1 species
UGAAUACGAGACGCUACGGCGUCGAAGCAGUCUAUGUCAUACUUCCAAGAAAAGCUCGCAAUGUCAUAAACAAAUAAUGCCUGUACCAUAACCGACACAGGUGGGUAGGUAGAGUAUACUAAGGGGCGCGAGAUAACUCUCUCUAAGGAGCUCGGCAAAAUGACUCCGUAACUUCGGGAGAAGGAGUGCCUUAUUUAUAAGGUUGCAAUAACAAGAUCCAAGCAACUGUUUAUCAAAAACACAGGUCUCCGCUAAGUCGUAAGACGAUGUAUGGGGGCUGACGCCUGCCCAGUGCCAGAAGGUUAAAGAAGUUGGUUAGCAUUCGCGAAGCUGAUAACUGAAGCCCUGGUGAACGGCGGCCGUAACUAUAACGGUCCUAAGGUAGCGAAAUUCCUUGUCGGGUAAGUUCCGACCCGCACGAAAGGCGUAAUGAUUUGGAUACUGUCUCGGAGAGGGGCUCGGUGAAAUAGACUUGUCUGUGAAGAUGCGGACUACCUGCACCUGGACAGAAAGACCCUAUGAAGCUUUACUGUAACUUGAAAUUGAAAUUGGACUUUAUUUGCGCAGCAUAGGUGGGAGGCGUUGAGAGUAUUCUUGCGGGAAUAUUGGAGCCAUCAGUGAGAUACCACUCUUGUAAUGUUAGAUUUCAAACUUUGGAUCAUAUCUGGUCAAAGAACAGUUUCAGGCGGGCAGUUUGACUGGGGCGGUCGCCUCCCAAAUGGUAACGGAGGCGUACAAAGGUUUCCUCUGAACGGGUAGAAAUCGUAUCUAGAGUGUAAGGGCAUAAGGAAGCUUGACUGUGAGACCUACAAGUCGAGCAGGGACGAAAGUCGGUCUUAGUGAUCUGACGGUGCUGAGUGGAAAGGCCGUCACUCAACGGAUAAAAGUUACUCUAAGGAUAACAGGCUGAUCUCCCCCAAGAGUUCACAUCGACGGGGAGGUUUGGCACCUCGAUGUCGGCUCAUCGCAUCCUGGGGCGGUAGUACGUCCCAAGGGUUGGGCUGUUCGCCCAUGAAAGCGGUACGCGAGCUGGGUUCAGAACGUCGUGAGACAGUUCGGUCCAUAUCCGGUGUAGGCGUUAGAAUAUUGAGAGGAGCCUUCUUUAGUACGAGAGGACCGAGAAGGACAUACCUCUGGUGUACCAGUUAUCGUGCCAACGGUAAACGCUGGGUAGCUAUGUAUGGAGAGGAUAACCGCUGAAAGCAUCUAAGUGGGAAGCCCACCUCAAGAUAAGUAUUCUCAC